rnacentral:lncRNA from 1 species
ACCAGUUCCAACCACAAGCUACACCCAUGGUGGGGGACCAGAUGAUGAAGGAUGGGGAUCACUGAGCUGGGUUCAGAACUCCAGAAAAACUCUGCAGGAGAUUCUGAGCCAUACAGGAGAACUCAGUAUGCAAACCCAGAUCCUGUGUAACAUGCCAAUGUGUUACCAUGUGGCCAUCCGGAUGCCUUAUGUGAAGCAUACUACUACAGUCACAUGCUCUAAUCUGUUACAGAACAGUCUAUGGUCAUUUCAAAGUGUUCAGAACAUGUAUCAGUUUAGAGGUUGCAGAAUUGCCUACAUGUUAUGGUUACCUCUUGGUGGCCAGAAAGUGAAAUAAUGUUGAGCAUCAGUGUUUGGCCAUUUUGAAGUGGCCAUAAUGCAUUAUGGCUGUUCUUUUUGGUGAUUGUGCAGUUUCGGUGUUUGGGCAUAACACACACACACACACACACACACACACACACACACACACACA